CAGUCGCCGCGGUAAUACGAAGGGGGCUAGCGUUGUUAGGAAUUACUGGGCGUAAAGCGCACGUAGGCGGACAUUUAAGUCAGGGGUGAAAUCCCGGGGCUCAACCCCGGAACUGCCUUUGAUACUGGGUGUCUAGAGUAUGGAAGAGGUGAGUGGAAUUCCGAGUGUAGAGGUGAAAUUCGUAGAUAUUCGGAGGAACACCAGUGGCGAAGGCGGCUCACUGGUCCAUUACUGACGCUGAGGUGCGAAAGCGUGGGGAGCAAACAGGAUUAGAUACCCCUGUAGUCCCUGUCUCUUAUAC
rnacentral:rRNA from 1 species